rnacentral:tRNA from 2 species
ACUAUUUUGGCAGAUUAGUGCGAUAAAUUUAGAAUUUAUUUAUGUAAUAUUUAUUACAAAUAGUA